rnacentral:rRNA from 1 species
UUGAUGGCGACCGGCGCACGGGUGAGUAACGCGUAUCCAACCUGCCCUUUACUAUGGGACAGCCCGUCGAAAGGCGGAUUAAUACCGUAUGUUGUCAUGUUGAUGCAUAUUUUCAUGACCAAAGGCUUCGGCCGGUAAAGGAUGGGGAUGCGUCUGAUUAGCUUGCCGGCGGGGUAACGGCCCACCGGGGCGACGAUCAGUAGGGGUUCUGAGAGGAAGGUCCCCCACAUUGGAACUGAGACACGGUCCAAACUCCUACGGAAGGCAGCAG